rnacentral:rRNA from 1 species
AUGGAUACAUGGGAUAUUAUUAAGUGUGUAUUCCCUACUACAAGUUCUAGCGGUAGAAUAAUCACAACUACUCGUAUAAAUGAUGUCGCUCAUUUCUGCUGUUCAUCCUUCAAUGGCCAUGUUUAUAAUAUAAGGCCUCUUGACAUGGGGCACUCAAGGCAGUUAUUUCACAGAAGAUUAUUUAAGUCUGAUAAAUAUUGUCCUUCAUACCUUCAAGAAAUUUCUGAGCAGAUAUUGAGAAAAUGUUGUGGCUCACCUCUGGCGAUCAUUGCGAUAUCUGGUUUGUUGGCUAACUCAGAAAAAACAGUGGAUCUAUGGGAUCAAGUGAAUGGUUCAAUUGGUCAUGCACUUGAAGGGAAUUCUAGCGUCGAAGGAAUGAUGAAGAUAUUAUCACUUAGUUAUUUUGAUCUGCCUCCUUAUUUAAAAACUUGCCUCUUAUAUCUCAGCAUUUAUCUAGAAGAUUCUACUAUUGAGAAGGAGGGCCUUAUAAGAAGAUGGAUUGCUGAAGGAUUCAUUCAUAGAGAAGGCAGGUACACGUCAUAUGAGUUAGGAAAAAGAUGUUUCAAUGAACUACUCAAUAGAGGUUUGAUCCAACCUGAGAAGAUAGAUAACUAUGGCAAGGUUAAUAGUUGUCGAGUUCAUGACACAAUUCUUGAUUUCAUCAUGUCCAAGUCUACGGAAGAGAACUUCGUUACAUUACCUGUUGUUCCCAUUCUAAGAAUUGGGGACCAAAGCAAAGUUGUUCGUCGACUCUGUCUACAAGGUGUGAAAGGAGGAGAUUCAACAGUACUGACAACAGGUCUAAUGUUGUCCCAUGUCCGAUCACUUGUUGUGGCUAGAGGUCUUGUGGAAAUCCCUUCAUUGGAGGAGUUCAGACAUCUGCAUGUUCUUGACUUUAGCAACCAAUUAUUGAAAGAGCACGAUCUUCAAAAUAUAAUGAGGUUAUUCCAGCUGAGGUACCUGAACCUCAAAGGUACAAAAAUAAGAAAGCUGCCAGAACAAAUCGGGUGUUUAGGGUGCUUAGAGAUACUGGACCUAAGAGACACUUUUGUGAAGGUAUUGCCCGUGUCUAUUAUUAAUCUCGGGAAAUUGAGGCAUCUACUUGUUGAUCAUGUUAAAUUUCCUAAUGGUAUUGCAAAGAUGCAAGCAUUGGAGACGUUGGAGUAUGUGAAGGUCCCGAUUCAGCCCUUUGACUUCUUGUACGGCCUUGGCCAACUAAAGAAUUUGAGGAAAUUGGGGCUUAACCUUCGUUUUGUGGUUGAUUCUGAUAGUGACACCGAGGAUAUGGAUGUGGUUUGGGAGGACCGCAUCAAAGCUUUCACCUCUACCCUGUGUAAGCUAGGAACCCAGAACCUUCGCUCUCUCCUUAUUGUGUCGGGGAAGAGCCUUUUACGAGAACCUUUGUGCAUGCCUACCCUGGAGAAACUUAUUACCCAGUAUUCAACCGUCCCGCGGGUUCCGGAGUGGGUUAGCUCUCUUAGAGACCUCAAACAGCUGCGGAUUCAUGUGGGGGUAGUCAAGCCGGAUGAUCUCUGCAUCCUUGGAGCUUUACCCAGUCUGCUCAUUCUGCAUCUGGAGGAAGAAACGGAGUCAAACGACCAGCUCAUAAUCAAUGCUGAAGUUGGGUUCCCAAUCUUGAAGAUUUUUAUUUAUGUUGCAAUUGUUUGCCCAGAAGAUGUGAUAUUUACAGCAGGAUCCAUGCCUAAGCUAGAGAAACUCGCGCUUAAAUGUUUGCGUGCAGUUGAAGCCGACUAUCUGGACUUUGGAAUCCAGAACCUCCCCUGCCUCAGUACUGUCAAAGUAGAGGUCCCGUAUGAUUCUCUUCAAGCCGUGAAGACUGCCAUGGAGAGAGCAGCCAGUGCACAUCCCAACCACCCUACUAUUGUCACAGAAUAUGGAAGGGCGAGUAGUAGUAGGAUUAGGACUUGUAGCCGACUAGGUUAG